rnacentral:rRNA from 1 species
GACGAACGCUGGCGGCGUGCCUAAUACAUGCAAGUAGAACGCUGAAGGAGGAGCUUGCUUCUCUGGAUGAGUUGCGAACGGGUGAGUAACGCGUAGGUAACCUGCCUGGUAGCGGGGGAUAACUAUUGGAAACGAUAGCUAAUACCGCAUAAUAGUAGAUGUUGCAUGACAUUUGCUUAAAAGGUGCAAUUGCAUCACUACCAGAUGGACCUGCGUUGUAUUAGCUAGUUGGUGAGGUAACGGCUCACCAAGGCGACGAUACAUAGCCGACCUGAGAGGGUGAUCGGCCACACUGGGACUGAGACACGGCCCAGACUCCUACGGGAGGCAGCAGUAGGGAAUCUUCGGCAAUGGACGGAAGUCUGACCGAGCAACGCCGCGUGAGUGAAGAAGGUUUUCGGAUCGUAAAGCUUUGUUGUAAGAGAAGAGCGAGUGUGAGAGUGGAAAGUUCACACUGUGACGGUAUCUUACCAGAAAGGGACGGCUAACUACGUG